UAAAAAUAUUUUUAAUAAUAUAUUAGAAAUGAAAUGUUAUUCGUUUUUAAAGGUAUCUAGUUCUUUAAGAAAUAAAUUUAAUUUAUAAAUUUUAUAUUAUUUAAUUAAAUUUAUUAAUUAAAUAAUUAUUUAAUUUAAAUAUUUUAUGGGAUAAGCUAUAUAAUAAAAUUUUAAAAAUUAUUAAAUAAAUUAAUAAAUAUAAGCUUGUAAAUAGUUAUUAUUAAUAAUAAUGUUAUAAUUUAUUUUAUAAUAUUAAUUAUUUAUUAUAAUUUUAAAUUUUUAUUAAAGUAUUUAUUUAAAUAAAUAAAAUAAAAAAAUAAUGAUAAAAUUAGUAUAUUAUUUUGUAAAAAUUAAUAUAAUUGAAAAGUUUUUAUAAAGAAUUCAGCAAAAAUAAUAUUCGCCUGUUUAACAAAAACAUGUCUUUUUUGUUUAUUUAAAAAGUCUAACCUGCCCACUGAAUUAUUAAAUGGCCGCAGUAUAUUAACUGUGCAAAGGUAGCAUAAUCAUUAGUCUUUUAAUUGAAGGCUUGUAUGAAUGGUUGGACGAAAUAUUAACUGUUUCAUAAUAAAUUUAAAUAAAAUUUUAUUUUUUAGUUAAAAAGCUAAAAUAUAUUUAAAAGACGAGAAGACCCUAUAAAUCUUUAUAUUUAAAUUAUAUUAAUUUUUUAUAAAUUUAAUUAUUAUAGUUAAUAAUAUUUUAUUGGGGUGAUAUUAAAAUUUAAUAAACUUUUAUUUUAUUUAACAUUAAUUUAUGAUUAACUGAUCCGUUAUUAACGAUUAUAAAUUUAAGUUACUUUAGGGAUAACAGCGUAAUUUUUUUGGAGAGUUCAUAUCGAUAAAAAAGAUUGCGACCUCGAUGUUGGAUUAAGAAAUAAUUUUAGGUGUAGAAGCUUAAAUUUUAAGUCUGU
rnacentral:rRNA from 1 species